UCUAGGGCGGUCGCACAGGCAGCGGCAGUGCGAAGCUGGCUUCAGCCAACAUGUACUACAAGUUUAGCAGUUUCACGCAGAAGUUGGCUAGUGCUUGGGCUUCGGAAGCCUAUACUCCGCAGAGGUCCUGAGUUCAAUUCCCAGCAACCACAUGGUGGCUCGAAACCAUCUGUAAUGAGAUCUGAUGCCCUCUUCUGGUGUGUCUGAAGACAGCGACAGUGUACUCACUCACAUACAUUAAAUAAGAAGCAGAUGUAACAGGAUCAGGAGUUCAAGACCAGCCUGGGCUGCAAGUGAGUUAAAGGCCAGCUCAGGAUACAUGGACCUGUUGUGAGCCACCAUGGCAGAAACCAAAAAAGGGUUUUAAGCCGGUUUCCAGAGAAGCACCGCCUAUCAUAUUUGCCACACCGACCAAACUGACCUCCAGUGUGACAGCAUAUGACUAUGCUGGGAAGAAUAAAGUUCCAGAGCUACAGAGAUUCUUCCAGAAGGCUGACGGUGUGCCCAUCCACCUGAAACGAGGCCUUCCGGACCAAAUGCUUUACCGGACCACCAUGGCUCUCACAGUGGGAGGGACCAUCUACUGCCUGAUCGCCCUCUACAUGGCCUCGAAGCCCAAAAACAAAUGAAUUUGCCUGUGGAGGACUGGUUUACUUUGUGACACAAACCCUUUGAAUUCUCGAGUUUCAUUUUUUCCCCCCUUGGAUAGUCUCCUUAACAUUUUGCAAACAAAGGAAAAGAUAAGAAUACACUGGUUUGUUUAUGG
rnacentral:lncRNA from 1 species